AAAACGGGUGGUAAUGCCGGAUGUUCCAGUUGAUCGCAUGGUCUUCUGGGAAAGCUUUCGCGGUAUGGGAUGGGGUCGCGUCCUAUCAGCUUGACGGCGGGGUAACGGCCCACCGUGGCUUCGACGGGUAGCCGGCCUGAGAGGGCGACCGGCCACAUUGGGACUGAGAUACGGCCCAGACUCCUACGGGAGGCAGCAGUGGGGAAUAUUGCACAAUGGGCGCAAGCCUGAUGCAGCGACGCCGCGUGAGGGAUGGAGGCCUUCGGGUUGUAAACCUCUUUUAUCGGGGAGCAAGCGUGAGUGAGUUUACCCGUUGAAUAAGCACCGGCUAACUACGUGCCAGCAGCCGCGGUAAUACGUAGGGUGCAAGCGUUAUCCGGAAUUAUUGGGCGUAAAGGGCUCGUAGGCGGUUCGUCGCGUCCGGUGUGAAAGUCCAUCGCUUAACGGUGGAUCCGCGCCGGGUACGGGCGGGCUUGAGUGCGGUAGGGGAGACUGGAAUUCCCGGUGUAACGGUGGAAUGUGUAGAUAUCGAAAA
rnacentral:rRNA from 1 species